CCUUGGUGUUUACUUUGAUUAUCCUGCAUACCUUGAGCCCUCAUCGUAAAGGCUCAUACGAUGGCUUUUCACUUAUUGGAUCUUAUAGAGCCUGCUCAUGUACAACAUGGUUCGGAUCUGAUCAUAGAAAUAAUCUCUUCAAGUGAACUAGCCUAUCUUUUGCAUGGGUCUUACGCGAUCAUUGGAACAAAAAAACAUUUGGUUGUGAAUUCCAACGUGAAAGAUACAUAUCUACACAGACCAAUCAAUUGUUCAAGUUACACACUCCCAUAAUUCAUUUUCCCUUCAAAGAAUUCCAUUCAACCCUACAUUUAUUUGACAUGAUUGGUUGAAGGGAAAUAUCCAAAUAUGUUGAUUAUUAUUUUCAAUUAUCUAUACUUGUAGCAAUGAAAUAAUAUUAUUCCCCCAAGUGAUAAAUGAUUGAUUACAAAUAUCUAUUAUAUAUCUUCUCCAAGAUAAACCAGAAAUACCUUGUUUACGUAUUAUUAGUAAUUUUGGGUCAACAAUGAAAACAACAGACUAAAUACCCUUUGCCAUUUCAUUUGGUUCAAUGGUAGACUUACAAAAAGAUCC
rnacentral:lncRNA from 1 species